GGAUACGGCCAUACUGCGGAGAAAGCACCGCUUCCCGUCCGAUCAGCGAAGUUAAGCUCCGCCAGGCGAUGUUAGUACUGGGGUGGGUGACCACCCGGGAAUCCAUCGUGCUGUAUCCUUUG
rnacentral:rRNA from 1 species